GGGAAAUGAAUGUCACAACAAAGAAGUUCGAGUCUUCGACUAGGUCUACCUGCCAAAUCGCAUGGCCUACCCACUCUGCGUGAAUCGUCUUGCCGUUUAUAUUGCCAUUUUUGGGUAGACUUUUCAGAACAUUAAUGGCCGCUAUCAUCUUCAGUAACUAAUUUGAAUCCCUUCAAUUUCUGGUUUUAUUCAUUGACCUCCCCAAAUCACACACACAACGCACUAAUCUAGCUGAUUGUUUCGGUGAUACUAUCGAAGUAGGAGAUGUUAUUGACAAGGGGAGUGUCCCGUAUAUCGAGGACAUGUUACUGCCGGCGUCAAUGGACUUUCUCUUCUUUACGUAAAAACGAGCAGCAAUUGGUCCAGCAUGACAACCAAUUUCUCUCCCCCUUGCGCGCUUCUGAGGAGGUGAAUCAACUCGUUCAUUGAUUUGUAUUUGUUGAUAUUAGUGUCACACAUUUUAGGGUUGCUAUUGAUGAGAGUUGCUCGUUGAAGUUAAUUUGUAAAUUGUAAUAACUGGGUUACGGACUGAAGAGCCAUGGUUUAAAGCUGAAAUCUUUGUUGUCAUUAUUAAUUUUUUUAACCCGAAAGUCCAUAUGUAAGUAAAAUUAUUAAAAGGUAAUAUUGACAUUAAAUUUGUAUAACUAGACAGUUAUAAUCUCUAAUUUGGAGAUUUAUAGCGGAGGAUCAUUUACAAGUUAUUCAAGUUUGUUCUUUCUUCAUCCACACGUUUUUAGGAUCCUAUACUGUGUUUGUCUUGUUCUAGAAUCUAGACUAUUAAUAUUCGGAGCUUGGUGAUUUAAUAAAACAGGGUUAUAGGAAUUGCAAAGCUUGCCGAUUGCUUCGGGUGGUCUGCAUUAGGUUACAUAUCAGGGCUAUAUGUUGACAAUAGGGUACCAAGUAUCAAGAAAUGGUAAAAUGUUCCUGGUCAUAAAAGACGUGACUUGUCUUGUUAUUUGUUGGAAGGGAUGAAUUAAAGGAAUUUUGGUUGUCAAUUCAUCAGCAGCGCUGAAGGGUUUAAAAUUGGUUACUACUUGUGACGGCGGUCAAACACUUUGAAGAUUAC
rnacentral:lncRNA from 1 species